GGGGGAUUAGCUCAGUUGGCUAGAGCGCUUGACUGGCAGUCAAGAGGUCAGCGGUUCGAAUCCGCUAUUCUCCA
rnacentral:tRNA from 1 species